rnacentral:rRNA from 1 species
AGUGAACGCUGGCGGUAGACCUAACACAUGCAAGUCGAACGGCAGCACAGUAAGAGCUUGCUCUUACGGGUGGCGAGUGGCGGACGGGUGAGGAAUACAUCGGAAUCUACUUUUUCGUGGGGGAUAACGUAGGGAAACUUACGCUAAUACCGCAUACGACCUACGGGUGAAAGCAGGGGAUCUUCGGACCUUGCGCGAUUGAAUGAGCCGAUGUCGGAUUAGCUAGUUGGCGGGGUAAAGGCCCACCAAGGCGACGAUCCGUAGCUGGUCUGAGAGGAUGAUCAGCCACACUGGAACUGAGACACGGUCCAGACUCCUCCGGGAGGCAGCAGUGGGGAAUAUUGGACAAUGGGCGCAAGCCUGAUCCAGCCAUACCGCGUGGGUGAAGAAGGCCUUCGGGUUGUAAAGCCCUUUUGUUGGGAAAGAAAAGCAGCAGGUUAAUACCCCGCUGUUCUGACGGUACCCAAAGAAUAAGCACCGGCUAACUUCGUG